rnacentral:rRNA from 1 species
UAGGGAAUCUUCCACAAUGGACGAAAGUCUGAUGGAGCAACGCCGCGUGAGUGAUGAAGGGUUUCGGCUCGUAAAACUCUGUUGUUGGAGAAGAACAGGUGAUAGAGUAACUGUUAUCAUCUUGACGGUAUCCAACCAGAAAGCCACGGCUAACUACGUGCCAGCAGCCGCGGUAAUACGUAGGCGGCAAGCGUUGUCCGGAUUUAUUGGGCGUAAAGCGAGCGCAGGCGGUUUUUUAGGUCUGAUGUGAAAGCCUUCGGCUUAACCGGAGAAGGGCAUCGGAAACCGGGAGACUUGAGUGCAGAAGAGGACAGUGGAACUCCAUGUGUAGCGGUGAAAUGCGUAGAUAUAUGGAAGAACACCAGUGGCGAAGGCGGCUGUCUGGUCUGUAACUGACGCUGAGGCUCGAAAGCAUGGGUAGCGAACAGGAUUAGAUACCCUGGUAGUCCAUGCCGUAAACGAUGAGUGCUAAGUGUUGGAGGGUUUCCGCCCUUCAGUGCUGCAGCUAACGCAUUAAGCACUCCGCCUGGGGAGUACGACCGCAAGGUUGAAAC